rnacentral:sRNA from 12 species
GAUCAUUGACAUACUGACAAGGCUAAAAAAACAAAGAGAUAACUAACGUAGAGAGGCUUCAAGCCCUCUACAAGUGACUAACAAUAUAGCUUGCAGUCUUAGACCUAUCGUGCUAAGAGCUGAACGGCUAACGACCGCCCCCCGCCCAUCGUAAAGGGCUUGCAAGCAC